AAGGGAAAUGUGACAGUAAUUUAACCCUUACAGUGUCAUUGGCAGUGUCUGAUACAGUGUAUGUCUUUGGACGAAACAUAAGGCAAAUGCGGCAGUAAUUAACCCUUGCAGUGUCUUUGGCAGAGUUCAAUACAGUGUAUGUAAUGGGACAAAAGAUAAGGGAAACACAGCAAUAAUUUAACCCUUACAGUGUGUUGAGACAAAUGAUAAGGGAAAUGUGACAGUAAUUUAACCCUUACAGUGUCAUUGGCAGUGUCUGAUACAGUGUAUGUCUUUGGACGAAACAUAAGGCAAAUGUUCAAAUAAUUUAACCCUUACAGUGUCUGUCUUUCGAGUAACCAUAAGGCAAAUGUAGUCAAAAGAUAAGGGAAACGCAGCAGUAAUUUAACCCUUACAGUGUCAUUGGCAGUGUCUGAUACAGUGUAUGUCUUUGGACGAAACAUAAGGCAAACCCAGCAGUAAUUUAACCCUUACAGGGUCAUUAGCAGUGUCUGAUACAGUGUAUGUAAUGGGACAAAAGAUAAGGGAAACACAGCAAUAAUUUAACCCUUACAGUGUGUUGAGACAAAUGAUAAGGGAAAUGUGACAGUAAUUUAACCCUUACAGUGUCAUUGGCAGUGUCUGAUACAGUGUAUGUCUUUGGACGAAACAUAAGGCAAAUGUUCAAAUAAUUUAACCCCUACAGUUACAUAGUUACAUAGUU